AAUAAGAUGCCUGAGAAAAGGGCUAUUUUGAUAGAAUAGAUUAUGUAUUUUUUACUCUUAUUA
rnacentral:tRNA from 1 species